UUAGUACAACCAGUAGGUUGUACAUAGGAUUGACAGUACAGUUGUGUGUGUUUUCAAUUAUUGCAUAAAUUUUGACUCGUGUUUAGACUGCUCUAUUUCUGCAGGGAAAGGCCACAUCAAGAAAUGGACUGGAUAGAUAGCUUAGUUAGCCUUUUAUCUGUAUAAAUGUGUGAAAUUAUAGUCAAUGAAUAUUCUCAUGCAUUACUAUUGAUAUUUGAAAAAUUGCACUAUUUUCAUAUUUCACCGCGUUUCGUCUGACUGACUAAGUAAGUAAGUUAGUAAGUAAGUAACAUUCUUGAAAAGCAUUUCCUCCUUGUACAGACAUAUUCAGAAGAUUCUAGAUACAGCCUCUAGUCGACUACAAACCGGAGCAUGGGCGUUUUUCUCAGAAUUGCGUCCGCUUCCAAGACGCAGGUGACCUCUCAGGCUCCACUUUUCUUACCUACGCAAUUCCGCCAUCUUUAAAUGACUGCCACAGCAACACAUGGCAACUUAUGAGGUGGGCGUGGCUGUGACAUCGAUAAACACAAAACCUCCUUUCUUCAGCUCAGCUCUCCAUUCUCUCACUUCAGGUAUUUCACUUUCAUUAUUGAGAAAAGAAGGCCGGUGAAGGAGGCUAACUCCUCAAUUCCCUGAGUGAAGUGCGGCCUGGGAUCGAGACUAUUGAGGAGUAUAAUAUAAUUCUGUCCAACGACCACUUAUAUAUUAUCUUCAACAAGAUUACAGGACGAUGACAAAUUAAUCAACGUCACAUUAAUUUUAUCUUAUCAUUAAUGUACUACUGUAUUGAAAAAGAAAGGGAAUCAAAACUAAAAAACAUUUGCAAUGUGAACGUUGCUAGGAUUGCCAGGAAAAGAAAAGCGCGAAAAAGCGAAGAAACAAGAAAUUCGGCGAGUGCAUAACUCCAAUCCGUUACAACGUCAUGAACAUGUACAGUCAAGUGGCCUACUGUUGAUAAGGAAUUUAGAAUCAAAAUACAGGUUGGGCACAGUCAUUGCACUAAAUAAGAAUUCACCUUUGGACAGUGAAACUAAAUAAUAAUUAUUAUUACUUGCAACUGAUGUGAAAGGAUUGGCCAGGAAAAGUACCAAAACAAGUAUAUAUAUAGCUUAAAUUUCUUGAAAUAGUACAUGUGAAUGACGUUGUAACGGAUUGGAGUUAUGCACUCGCCGAAUUUCUUGUUUCUUCGCUUUUUCGCGCUUUUCUUUUCCUGGCAAUCCUAGCAACGUUCACAUUGCAAAUGUUUUUUAGUUUUGAUUGUACAUAGGAUUGACAGUGCAGUUGUGUGUGUUUUCAAUUAUUGCACAAAUUUUGACUCGUGUUUAGACUGCUCUAUUUCUGCAGGGAAAGGCCACAGCAAGAAACUGAGUUGACAGAUAGCUUAGUUAGCCUUUUAUCUGUAUAAAUGUGUGAAAUUAUAGUCAAUGAAUAUUCUCAUGCAUUACUAUUGAUAUUUGAAAAAUUGCACUAUUUUCAUAUUUCACCGUGUUUUGUCUGACUGACUAAGUAAGUAAGUAACUUUCUUGAAAAGCAUUUCCUCCUUGUACAGACAUCUUCAGAAGAUUCUAGAUACAGCCUCUAGUGGACUAGAACCCGGACCAUGGGCGUUUUUCUCAGAAUUGCGUUCGCUUCCAAGAGGCAAAUGACCUCUCAGGCUCUACUUUUCUUACCUACGCAAUUCCGCCAUCUUUAAAUGACUGCCACAGCAACGCAUAUGGCAACUUAUGAGGUGGGCGUGGCUUUGACAUCGAUAACACAAGGCUCCUUUCUUCAGCUCAGCUCUCCAUUCUCUCUCACUUCAGAUUCUGAAUAAAAUAAUAAUGUUUAUUCCAGUCCUGUCUUCUCUUCUUGAACUUCUCUUGCUUCUUGAUGUUCCUCUUCAGGUAUUUCACUUUCAUUAUUGAAGAGUAUAAUAUACUUCUGUCCAACGACCACUUAUAUACUAUUA